AAAUCAUUUAUUUUAUGAAUUUAGUUUCGACCUAAAAAAAAAUUUAAGUUAUUUA
rnacentral:tRNA from 1 species